rnacentral:rRNA from 1 species
AUACGUAGGGUGCAAGCGUUAAUCGGAAUUACUGGGCGUAAAGCGUGCGCAGGCGGUUUUGUAAGACCGAGGUGAAAUCCCCGGGCUCAACCUGGGAAACGCCUUUGUGACUGCAAGGCUAGAGUACGGCAGAGGGGGAUGGAAUUCCGCGUGUAGCCGUGAAAUGCGUAGAUAUGCGGAGUAACACGGAUGGCUAAGGCAUCUCCAUGCUCCUUGUCUGUGCCGCAGGUCCGCUGUGUUGAUAAGCAAAUGCGGUUUGAAACACUAGUCUUCCACGCCCGAAACGAUGUACACUGGUUUUUUGGCCUCCAUUGUCUCUGCAAAGAAGCUAAAGUGUGAAGUAGUCCGGCUGGCGCGCACCGCCUCACGGUGGAUCCUCAAAUGUAUUGGCUGAG